AAUGAAGUGCCUGAAAAUUUUAAGGGCUAUUUUGAUAGAAUAGAACACGUGUAUUUACACCUUCAUUA
rnacentral:tRNA from 1 species